GAGGUGGCGCUGUGGAGCCGCGCAGGGUCUAGGGCGACUCUCUGAGGGAGCCGCGGCCGCCAGGCUCCGUGGGUUUUGGUUCAGGCGCCGGUGUGCCCAAGGAUGUUGUAGAACUCUGUCUAGCCACAGUGUGGGGAUGGGGAGCUCCCGCCGACAGACUCUGUUGCUUUCUGGCUUGGCCGCUGGUUGUCCCUUGCUCCUGGAAGGUCACCAUAUUGAUGCCAAACUCAGUGUGGAUGCCCAAUUGGUAGAGUGCACUACAGCCCAGAACUCAUGGACUCAAGUCAGCCUCCCAAGUCCCUGGGACUACAGAUUCCUGAAUGAUCCGGCGGCAUGGCAGAGGUGGUGCCUACUGAUAUGGCUCCGAUGACUGGAGGAACACCAGGGUCCUUGGUCUUGCGCCAAUGUAGCCCCCACAGAGGCAAAGAUCGGAGUGAUAUGGUACAAGCCAAGGCAUGCUGGCAGCCACUAGAAGCUGGCAAGGAAGGAUUGUCCCCCA
rnacentral:lncRNA from 1 species